rnacentral:lncRNA from 1 species
GCCGGCUUUCUGCAAUCGCCCCCUAGGCCCCUCCGCUCUGCCGAGAGAAGCUCGGCCCCGCCCCUCUGCGGAGCUCCAGUCCGGCCCCGCCCCUCUGCGGAGCUCCGCUCCGGCCCCGCCCCUCUGCGGAGCUCCGCUCCGGCCCCGCCCUUCCGCAGAGCCGGGCUUGGGUUCCACCCCUCUGCAGAGGCCUGGGCAGGCCCCGCCCCCUGCGGAGCCCUGCUCUUCAGGCCCCGCCCCUCUGCAGAGCUCUACGCAGGGUCCUCCCUCCGCUGGCUCCGCCCCUUUGCGGUAGAAGCCGGGGCGGAGCUCCCCAGCCCUCACUGCGGUCUUUCUUUCCUGUGGCCUCGGCCGGUGAGGUCAUGUCUUUUCGAGCUCCGCCACACGUGGGGUUUCCUCUCCAGGAGUCUCUCCUCAUACCACCCUGAAAUCACAGAUUCAUGUCUCCCUUCAAAAAAAAAAUGAAAAUCAAACGUGGAAUUGGGAAAGGAGUAGGGUGAAACCAGCUGGUGGCCCCCAUGAGAAGUAUGAGAGAUCGUUCAUGACAAGGAAUUUCAGGUAAAUAUCCCUUCCUGGCUGUAGGAAUGGGUAUUGGGGUAAAUAUCACUCGCCUUCCAUUUGAAAGACUAGCCUUCUGAAGGAAAUCUGACACAGGUAAGAAUACUCAAAUCUCUGCUUCUUAGGCUUUACCCAGUUUCUGUCAGCUGUCCAGGCCAACACCAUGCCUGUGACGGUGUUACACUUCUGGGAGAGAAAUGCACUGUCGUCACCAAGGUCUUGUCACAUGGCACUGUUUUAGUGCCAAGGCUGACUGCCUUAGAUAGUGCUUUGCACCACUGAGAGUGGAUUAACUUCCUAUAUGAAGUUAGUCCUAGUCUAGGUGCACACAUGUAUAUUUAUUUUCUCCACCUCUUGGUAUUGUGUCCCUGUCCCCUGACAUUAUAUAGUUUAGACUGGAUGGCCUCUAAGGUCCCUUCCAGUUCUAAAUCUCUGAUCCUUAUGAUCCAGUCACCUUCUUCUUUGCUACCAGGACCAGCACCUGUAUCUGGACUUCAGGUGACUUGUGAUAUACUGCUCCUGGGUGGUUACUAAGGUAGGUACUUUACAUUAUUCCAUAACCUCGGACUAAGGUCCUCAAGCAUAAAAGGGUCACCUUUACAUGAAGGUAAACAUUUCUGGAAUUCAGCCAAAGCAGCUUUAUAUCUCCAUAAGAGAAAUGAAUUGUGCACACAGCUGCUGGGGGGGGCGGGGGGGAGGGGGGGGGGGCAGGGGGAAAGUAGGAAACCAACAAAUUAAAAAUUGCCCAGUUAAACACUUGAAUCUUUAGAGUAAAAGACAUGAUAAAAUUGAAAACAAAAUACUGUGUUUGCAAAAACUAACUGCUGAGGAAAACAAUCCCAUUUGGUCCUGGAAUUUGUUUUCUUUGUCAUACCAUCAGUUUUCUUUUAUGCACUUGAAUGCCUUUCAUUAUACUCCUAAAGGGAAUACAAAAUGAUACCAAAAGGGUCAGGAGCCCUUGGUUUGUUCUCCUUUGGGAAGACUAUCUACAAUGCUGACCAUGUCUGACAGAGUAGCCACUGAAUUCAAAUGCUUGCUGGCUUGAAUUUGAAAUGUCUUGCUAAAUUGCCCAAGUCAAAUUUGUCUGCUUUAUUUUCUACAGCUUACAAAGAGAUCAGAAGCACAGAAGGCUUUGAUCCUAGUGGAAGAACAGUGAUGAAAAACCCAGGAAUCUCCCCCCUCCAUGAAACUGAGUGGCAGAGUGAUUUGAAAUGGGUAUAAGAUGGAACUUCUGGUACUGGGAAGAACUGAUUGCUGGAUGAAGAAUAAUUACUAGUCCAAGUUGGGUUCUCUCUACUGUAUACAAUCAUUCCCUGAGGGGUUUGGGUGGCUAAUCAUGCAAAUUAAAAGGAUCUAAUAGGAUUUGCUACUUGAUAAGUGAAAGUAAUUACUCAUCUCCCUGUUGACUUGAUUAUUGUGAUUUUAAACAAAAAUUCUCUUUCUGUUAUAAUGAGCAACUGAAAUGUAAAUGCUAAAUAAAACUAGUAUAAAACUCCUUGUUUUGUGGUUUUGGGUGAUUUAUAAUAACAUGGGUAGGAAUUGUAAAGACAAUGAAGAACAUAACAGCGUCCCCAUUUCUAGGCCUGAAUUCUGUUAAUUUUAUUUCAUUUGACUCCAUAGCAAUGAGUUUUCUUUAGAAUAUCCACGCCUUGAAUUAAAAACCCAAAGCAAGCCAGGAGAAUGACCCAAAGGAGAAGGCUUUUGUAUCCAAUUGUGUACAAAAAAUAUGGCCAAAUGUCUGAGGAUUUCUAUGAAAGAAAACAACCUCCUAAGAGCAACUAAUUAAGGGCUUGAAGGGGAGAU